rnacentral:rRNA from 1 species
AACGAACGCUGGCGGCAGGCUUAACACAUGCAAGUCGAACGCCCCGCAAGGGGAGUGGCAGACGGGUGAGUAACGCGUGGGAAUCUACCCAGUUCUACGGAACAACACAGGGAAACUUGUGCUAAUACCGUAUACGCCCUACGGGGGAAAGAUUUAUCGGAAUUGGAUGAGCCCGCGUUGGAUUAGCUAGUUGGUGGGGUAAUGGCCUACCAAGGCGACGAUCCAUAGCUGGUCUGAGAGGAUGAUCAGCCACACUGGGACUGAGACACGGCCCAGACUCCUACGGGAGGCAGCAGUGGGGAAUAUUGGACAAUGGGCGCAAGCCUGAUCCAGCCAUGCCGCGUGAGUGAUGAAGGCCUUAGGGUUGUAAAGCUCUUUCAGUGGGGACGAUAAUGACGGUACCCACAGAAGAAGCCCCGGCUAACUACGUGCCAGCCGCCGCAGUAAGAC